rnacentral:rRNA from 1 species
UACAGAGGUCCCGAGCGUUGUUCGGAUUCACUGGGCGUAAAGGGUGCGUAGGCGGCGCAGUAAGUUGGGUGUGAAAUCCCUCGGCUUAACCGAGGAAUUGCGCCCAAAACUACUGUGCUCGAGGGAGGUAGAGGUGAGCGGAACUUAGGGUGGAGCGGUGAAAUGCGUUGAUAUCCUAAGGAACACCGGUGGCGAAAGCGGCUCACUGGACCUCUCCUGACGCUGAGGCACGAAAGCUAGGGGAGCAAACGGG